UAAGUCCCCAAAUGGAUUGUUGUCACACCCCCUAUUUUCUUAUGGAGGCAGCAAAGGGGAAUAUUGGACAAUGGACCGAGAGUAUGAUCCAGCAAUUCUGUGUGCACGAUGAAGUUUUUCGGAAUGUAAAGUGCUUUCAGUUGGGAAGAAAGAAAUGACGGUACCAACAGAAGAAGUGACGGCUAAAUACGUGCCAGCAGCCGCGGUAAUACGUAUGUCACGAGCGUUAUCCGGAUUUAUUGGGCGUAAAGCGCGUCUAGGUGGUUAUAUAAGUCUGAUGUGAAAAUGCAGGGCUCAACUCUGUAUUGCGUUGGAAACUGUAUAACUAGAGUACUGGAGAGGUAAGCGGAACUACAAGUGUAGAGGUGAAAUUCGUAGAUAUUUGUAGGAAUGCCGAUGAGGAAGCCAGCUUACUGGACAGAUACUGACGCUGAAGCGCGAAAGCGUGGGUAGCAAACAGG
rnacentral:rRNA from 1 species